AAACUUUCAACAACGGAUCUCUUGGUUCUGGCAUCGAUGAAGAACGCAGCGAAAUGCGAUAAGUAAUGUGAAUUGCAGAAUUCAGUGAAUCAUCGAAUCUUUGAACGCACAUUGCGCCCUUUGGUAUUCCUUAGGGCACACCUGUUCGAGCGUCAUUA
rnacentral:rRNA from 2 species